rnacentral:rRNA from 1 species
AUGCAAGUCGAACGGAAGUUAGAGCUCGGUUUUAACUUUAGUGGCGAACGGGUGAGUAACGCGUGAGGAACCUGCCUUUCAGUGGGGGACAACAGUUGGAAACGACUGCUAAUACCGCAUAAGCCCACGGGUCGGCAUCGACCAGAGGGAAAAGGAGCAAUCCGCUUUGAGAUGGCCUCGCGUCCGAUUAGCUGGUUGGUGAGGUAAUGGCCCACCAAGGCAACGAUCGGUAGCCGGACUGAGAGGUUGAACGGCCACAUUGGGACUGAGACACGGCCCAAACUCC